rnacentral:rRNA from 1 species
CAGCCGCCACUGUAAUACGAAGGGUGCAAGCGUUGCUCGGAAUUACUGGGCGUAAAGCGUGCGUAGGUGGUGGUUUAAGUCCGUUGUGAAAGCCCUGGGCUCAACCUGGGAAUUGCAGUGGAUACUGGGUCACUAGAGUGUGGUAGAGGAUAGUGGAAUUUCCGGUGUAGCAGUGAAAUGCGUAGAGAUCGGAAGGAACAUCUGUGGCGAAGGCGACUAUCUGGGCCAACACUGACACUGAGGCACGAAAGCGUGGGGAGCAAACAGGAUUAGAUACCCCUGUAGUCCCUGUCUCUUAUAA